UUUUUUUUUUUUUUUGUCUUUUUGCCUUUUCUAGGGCCGCUCCCACGGCAUAUGGACGUUCCCAGGCUAGGGGGUCUAAUCGGAGCUAUAGCCAUUGGCCUACGCCAGAGCCACAGCAACUCAGGAUCCGAGCCACGUCUGCAACCUACACCACAACUAAUGGCAAUGUCAGAUCCUUAACCUGCUGAGCAAGGCCAGGGAUCGAACCUGAAACCUCUGGUUAACGAAUCCGACUGGGAACCGUGAGGUUGCGGGUUUGAUCCCUGCCCCUGCUCAGUGGGUUAAAGAUCCGGCGUUGCCCUGAGCUGUGGUGUAGGUUGCAGACGUGGCUCGGAUCCCGCGUUGCUGUGGCUCUGGCAUAGGCUUGGCGGCUACAGCUCCGAUUCGACCCUUAGCCUGGGAACCUCCAUAUGUCACAGAAGCUGACCAAGAAAUGGGAAAAAGACAAAAAAUAAACAAAUAACUUCAAGGACUUGAGUGAAAUGAUUGUGUAAGAUGGGCAAAAAUACACACUUGACGUGGAGGUGAGUUUAAUACAUGAGUAAUUUGCUAAUAUGUGGACAGAGCUUCCCGAAACCACAGAACAGAAGGCAGUAUGUGGAAGGAAGCCCACUGAUAAAGUCCACACAGGUCAGCCUCUUCAGGCAGAGAACAGGGUAAGGAAUCGAUCCAGAGACAGAAACUAUUCAGCUUGGGGAAGCGCUUGAAAGUCAGAUUAGGGUGUUUAGAUUGUUGAAGCUACGAUAGGCUUGCUGGGGAUAAUGCAAUAGAUGCCUUUGCGUCUUAGAGCCACUUUAAUUAUUUUAGAUGCCUUCCACCAAAUGUAGGAUAGUUGCUUUUCUCUUUGCUGUUGCAGAUGGCCUGCCUCCAUUUAAUUGUGUAGUGGGAUCAAGUCAUACCUAUAAAAAUGUAGAAGAGGAGGGAGUCUAGCACAUUUUGCAUUGCCCACGACUGGAGUGUGAUCUGCCGAACAACCUCCCUCACCCAGGCUGAUUCUUCCAGGGCGUACUGAGAAAAUGCUAAUACCAUCAAGGGCAGCAUUUCACCACAUUGAUGAUCUUUUUUUUUUUUAUUUUUUUUUUUUAGGGCUGCACCUACAGCGUAUGGAAGUUCCCAGACUAGGGGUUGGAUCAGAGCUGCAGCUGCCAGCCUACACCACAACCACAGCCAUGCCAGAUCCGAGCUGCAUCUGUCACAUACACUGCAGCGCACGGCAACACUGGGUCCUUCACCCACUGAGCGAGGCCAGGGAUUGAACCCACAUCCUCAUGGAUACUAGUUGGGUUCUUAACCUGCUGAGCCACACUGGGAAUUUUGAUAUUGAUGAUCAUUUUUGAUUGAUGAUGAUCAGCCAAUAUUUUAAAGUCUCACAUAUGCCCCACCACGUAGAAUAAUGGGGAACUGAAAUGAAUUAUUAUGUCUACAAUAUGCUUGCCCCUGAUGGAGCAUAGUUAGGUUGGGAAACUUAAUUCUGAAGUUAAUAGGAAAGAAAAUUAGUAGAGGGCAGAAGUUCACUUUCAAAUCAUUUUCUUCCUGUACUAUUUGUUUUCAGUAAGUUUCCCAUCAUAGUUUUUUCUUGAAUGGCUGCUAUAACCAAGAGAGAGGAGGACGAAGAAGAGUAUUUUGCUUUUAUGGUCAGAAUGGCAGUAGAAGAGUCUAGGGGUUAAGGAAUGCCAGCCAAACUGACUUUUCCACAGAGACUCCCAAGACCCUUUUUAGUUUACAUGAAUCGUAGGGUGUUGUAUCAGUUUCCUGUUGCUCCUGUAAUAAAUCAUUGCAAACUUUACACAACACAGAUUUAUUCUAUUACAAUUUGGGGGAUCAGACUACAAAAUGAAUCUUAGGGGGUUAAAAUGAAGAUGUGGAGUUCCUGCUGUGGUGCAAGGCUCUCCGAAGUGUUGGGACACAGGUUCAAUCCCAGCCCUGGCACAGUGAGUUAGGGAUCCAGCAUUGAUGAAGCCUCACAACUGUGGCUCCAAUCUGAUCCCUGGGCCGGGAACUCCAUAUGCCAUGGGGUGGCCAAAAAAAGAAACAGCAACAACAAAACAACAAGCAAUGCUAGAUGGGUCUUCAACAUGCUGGGGGGUGGGGAGUGGGGGAAGGAUGUCAGCGGGGCUGUUUUUUCUUGCGUUCUUUGAGGGAUGGGGGAAUCCAUUCUUUUGACUCUUCCAGCUUCUCUUGCAGCUUCCAGAGGUGACAGCAUUCCUGGGUCCUGGCCACAGAUCUCCAAGCUGUGGUUCUAUUGUCUAACAUGGCCCUCUGCUCGC
rnacentral:lncRNA from 1 species